UGGGGAAUUGUUCGCAAUGGGCGAAAGCCUGACGACGCAACGCCGCGUGGAGGAUGAAGACCUUCGGGUCGUAAACUCCUUUCGACCGAGAAGAAUGGCUCUCGACCUAAUACGUCGAGAGCAUGACGGUAUCGAGGGAAGAAGCCCCGGCUAACUCUGUGCCAGCAGCCGCGGUAAUACAGGGGGGGCAAGCGUUGUUCGGAAUCACUGGGCGUAAAGGGCGUGUAGGCGGGAACUUAAGUCUGGUUUUAAAGACCGGGGCUCAACCUCGGGGAUGGACUGGAUACUGGGUUUCUAGACCUCUGGAGAGAGGCUCGGAAUUUCUGGUGUAGCGGUGGAAUGCGUAGAUACCAGAAGGAACACCGAUGGCGAAGGCAGAGUCUUGGACAGAAGGUGACGCUGAGGCGCGAAAGUGUGGGGAGCGAACCGGAUUAGAUACCCGGGUAGUCCACACCCUAAACGAUGUACGUUGGAUGACGGUCGGAUGCGAUCGUUGUCGAAGUUAACGCGAUAAACGUACCGCCUGGGAAGUACGGCCGCAAGGUUG
rnacentral:rRNA from 1 species